AACAGAGGGGGCUAGCGUUGUUCGGAUUUACUGGGCGUAAAGCGCACGUAGGCGGAUCGUUAAGUUAGGGGUGAAAUCCUGGAGCUCAACUCCAGAACUGCCUCUAAUACUGGCGAUCUAGAGUCCGGAAGAGGUGAGUGGAACUCCUAGUGUAGAGGUGGAAUUCGUAGAUAUUAGGGAGAACACCAGUGGCGAAGGCGGCUCACUGGUCCGGUACUGACGCUGAGGUGCGAAAGCGUGGGGAGCAAACAGG
rnacentral:rRNA from 1 species